AGCGAACGCUGGCGGCAGGCCUAACACAUGCAAGUCGAACGAACUCUUCGGAGUUAGUGGCGGACGGGUGAGUAACACGUGGGAACGUGCCUUUUGGUUCGGAAUAACUCAGGGAAACUUGUGCUAAUACCGAAUGUGCCCUUCGGGGGAAAGAUUUAUCGCCAUUAGAGCGGCCGCGUCUGAUUAGCUAGUUGGUGAGGUAACGGCUCACCAAGGCGACGAUCAGUAGCUGGUCUGAGAGGAUGACCAGCCACACUGGGACUGAGACACGGCCCAGACUCCUACGGGAGGCAGCAGUGGGGAAUCUUGCGCAAUGGGCGAAAGCCUGACGCAGCCAUGCCGCGUGAAUGAUGAAGGUCUUAGGAUUGUAAAAUUCUUUCACCGGGGACGAUAAUGACGGUACCCGGAGAAGAAGCCCCGGCUAACUUCGUG
rnacentral:rRNA from 1 species